CAGCAGCCACGGUAACACGAAGGGUGCAAGCGUUAAUCGGAAUUACUGGGCGUAAAGCGUGCGUAGGCGGUGAGUUAAGUCUGCUGUGAAAUCCCCGGGCUUAACCUGGGAACUGCGCUUGUGACUGCACAGCUAGAGUAUGGCAGAGGGGGGUGGAAUUCCACGUGUAGCAGUGAAAUGCGUAGAGAUGUGGAGGAACACCGAUGGCGAAGGCAGCCCCCUGGGCCAAUACUGACGCUCAUGCACGAAAGCGUGGGGAGCAAACAGGAUUAGAUACCCGUGUAGUCCCUGUCUCUUAUAC
rnacentral:rRNA from 1 species